AAAAACAUGUCUUUUUGUUAAUAAUUUAAAGUCUAAUCUGCCCACUGAAUUAAUUUAAAGGGCUGCAGUAUAUUGACUGUACAAAGGUAGCAUAAUCAAUAGUCUUUUAAUUGAAGACUUGUAUGAAUGAUUUGAUGAGAUAUAAACUGUCUCUUUAUUAAAAAUAGAAUUUAAUUUUUUAGUCAAAAAGCUAAAAUUUAUAUAAAAGACGAGAAGACCCUAUAGAGUUUUAUAUUUUUUAUUUAUUUAAUUUUAUAUAAAUAUUUAAAUUAAAUUAAUAAAAAAUAUUUUGUUGGGGUGAUAGAAAAAUUAAAUAAACUUUUUUUAAAAAAUUUACAUUAAUUUAUGAAUAUAUGAUCCAUAAUUUAUGAUUAUAAGAAUAAAUUACCUUAGGGAUAACAGCGUAAUUUUUUUUUUUAGUUCAAAUAAAAAUUAAAGUUUGCGACCUCGAUGUUGGAUUAAGAUAAAAUUUAAAUGCAAAAGUUUAAAAUUUUGAUCUGUUCGAUCAUUAAAAUCUUACAUGAU
rnacentral:rRNA from 1 species